GUGAAUCUAUUUUUAUUCGAGAGUAAUGCUCUAACCAGGUAAAUGAAGCACAAGCCCAUCCAAAAAGAAAAUAGUCAGAAAUACUAACCAACGUCAAUAGGUAGCCACAACCAGAGUACCUCGGCGUGAUAUGAGCGUGAAAGGGGUUUAA